UUAAUAAGAUCUUCUUCUCCAACUAAAACAAGCUUAAGCAAACAUACAAGAGCUGCGCCUUUUUCAACGAAUCGUCUUCUUUUUCCCAAUACGAGCUGGCGCAUUUUUGGUCUUGAAACCAUGGUUUAAAAAAAAUCGAAUUUCAAAAUUGUCCCCCAAAAAUCUAGGGGGUAUUUUCGAGUCAUUUUCCAGAAGGGGAUAAUUUGGACCCUCGUCAAAAGCUAUGCUUCAAUGUGAAAUAGAUAUUAGUUUAUCCACAAAUGAUUGAUAAAAACUUAGAAAAUAUUAUGCGCAUCACAAUUUCGAUGUCUUAUUUUUUCAGAUACCACCACAACCAUCUCAAACAAUUAAUAUCUGAGUCAUUUAUUUUAACAAAUCAAACUGAACGAAUGUAAUGUAUAAAUUUAAUUGGUAAAUCGAUCUAGAAAUAGAUACAAUAAAUAAAUAAGCACAAUUGAUAUGUA